UACGUAGGGGGCAAGCGUUGUCCGGAUUUAUUGGGCGUAAAGAGCGUGUAGGCGGCCGUACAGGUCAGCUGUGAAAACUCGAGGCUCAACCUCGAGACGUCGGUUGAAACCGUACGGCUAGAGUCCGGAAGAGGAGAGUGGAAUUCCCGGUGUAGCGGUGAAAUGCGCAGAUAUCGGGAAGAACACCCGUGGCGAAGGCGGCUCUCUGGGCAAUUCCUGACGCUGAGGCGCGAAAGCGUGGGGAGCAAACGGG
rnacentral:rRNA from 1 species